UGAUCCUGCCAGUAGUCAUAUGCUUGUCUCAAAGAUUAACCCAUGCAUGUGUAAGUAUAGUACCUACAGCGAAACUGCGAAUGGCUCAUUAAAUCAGUUAUAGUUUAUUUGAUGGAUACAGAUAUGGAUAACCGUAGUAAUUCUAGAGCUAAUACAUGCUUGAAAGCCUGACUCACGAAGGGCUGCAUUUAUUABAUAAAGCCAGCAUUUAGGUGAUUCAUAAUAACUUAGCGAAUCGCGGAAUUUCUGCGAUAAAUCAUUCAAGUAUCUGCCCUAUCAGCUCUGAUGGUAGUGUAUUGGACUACCAUGGCUUUAACGGGUAACGGAGAAUUAGGGUUCGGUUCCGGAGAAAGAGCCUGAGAAACGGCUAUUACAUCUAAGGACGGCAGCAGGGGCGUAAAUUACCCAAUCUUAACUUAAGGAGGUAGUGACAAGAAAUAUCGACAUUGGAGAAAUCCAAGAUCGGAAUGGGCUUAAUUUAAAUCCCUAAGUGAGUAACCAUUGGAGGGCAAGUCUGGUU
rnacentral:rRNA from 1 species